rnacentral:tRNA from 1 species
GGCCCAGUGGUCUAGUAGUAUGAUACGUGCUUCGGGCGCUUGUCCGCUCGCUCUGCGAGUCUUAAAUUGCACGGGGUCCCGGGUUCAAUUCCCGGCUGGGCCC